GCCAGGCGCGGUGGCUCACGCCUGUAAUCCCAACACUUUGGGAGGCCGAGGUGGGUGGAUCACCUGAGGUCAGGAGUUCAAGACCAGCCUGGCCAAUAUGGUGAAAACCCAUCUCUA
rnacentral:SRP_RNA from 1 species